GAUGAAGAACGCAUCGAAAUGCGAUAAGUAGUGUGAAUUGCAGAAUUCAGUGAAUCAUCGAAUCUUUGAACGCACAUUGCGCCCCUCGGUAUUCCGUGGGGCAUGCCUGUUCGAGCGUCAUUUAACCCCUCAAGCCUAGCUUGGUAUUGGGUGCUUGUCCCGCCUCUCGCGCGGCGACUCACCUCAAAGUCAUUGGCAGCCCGCAUCUCGCCGGCCGUGAGCGCAGCACAGACGCGCUCUUGGCAACGACGGAUCGGCUCUCCAAAAGCUUAUUUCAACCACUGACCUCGGAUCAGGUAGGGAUACCCGCUGAACUUAAGCAUAUCAAUAAGCGGAGGA
rnacentral:misc_RNA from 1 species